AGAAGAUAAACCUACUCAGCCCCAGUAAUUUCAAUGAUAGUUGGACUCCACAAUGCUUUUUGAAUCGUAAUUUCAAGGUUGUCCAUCCAUUAUGUCGAUAGCUCUGCCCAAAUAAAAUACAUCCAUUGCUAUCCCCUAAACUUCACCCCCUUCUCUCCAUCAUCUUCUAGUCUGGUCUCCUUCCCCAACGUCCUUUUGGAAACAAAUUUUGCAGAUUCGGGUCUUCUUGAACCAGAGAUGGAACAUUAUUGUGAAGGAUCGUCUUCGAGGCCAGCAAUUUGUCUCUGAGGCCCCAAACCACCACUCCGGACACAAAUUUGAAAGUUCUUUUGUCAAACGCCAUGUCAAAGUGCACUUUAACCGUUGUUGUCUUCCUGUUAUAGACACCUGCUCAUGGACAAGCUGGUUUCUGGAAUACUAGAUAAGCCAUAAAGCAUAACAGAAAAGUCGACUCUGCUCCUCGGACCCUUUCAUGAAUACCCAGGACAGUGUCUGCAUAUGUGAGAGCAUCCUCAUCCCCCGAGCUACAACGGAGGCAUUGGAUGUUCGUGAGUACCCUUUUACACCUAAGGCUGACAAACGUGGGCAUGUAAUUCUAGGAAAUAUGCCAGAUCGUUAUUGCAACUUUUGUGGGAAGCUGUAAACUCCAUAGUUUGCUGUAAAUUUUUUAGAUUCGGCCUGUAAUAAAUAACUUCUAGAAUCUAGUAAAGAAUUCUGUAAUAGUUUAUAGGCACUACGUACAGAAAACUCUCCCGACUAUUCUCCCUUCCAAACUUGAAAAUCCGCAUGACUAGUUCCUGCAAUAGGGAUCUGCAAUAUUUUGUGAGCUACUUCUUCAUUAAAGCAUAAUCCAUCUUGAAGAAGUCCUUUUGCCGCCCAAAUUCUCUUUCAGGUAAGGGAAGGACGUGAAGUCGAACGUGAUGAAAAGCUUCUGACAACCAGCAGAUUGAUGCUAAUCUCUAUACUCCAGACAGAUCUGGAAAAUGAAAAUAAUAGAACACCGAUUGAAAAAAACCUAAACGCAUACCAGGGGCGGCAAACAAGAAACGUGCUAGGGUAGCAGACUUUUUUUUAAAAAUAAUUUCACAACAAUUUAAAUAUACCUACCAACUUUGCAUAAGAAUUUUAAACAAAUUAAAAGUCUCAAAUAA